rnacentral:piRNA from 1 species
UAGCAUACUAGCCCGAGGUUUGA